GAUGAACGCUGGCGGCGUGCCUAAUACAUGCAAGUCGAGCGAACAGACGAGGAGCUUGCUCCUCUGACGUUAGCGGCGGACGGGUGAGUAACACGUGGAUAACCUACCUAUAAGACUGGGAUAACUUCGGGAAACCGGAGCUAAUACCGGAUAAUAUAUUGAACCGCAUGGUUCAAUAGUGAAAGGCGGUUUUGCUGUCACUUAUAGAUGGAUCCGCGCCGCAUUAGCUAGUUGGUAAGGUAACGGCUUACCAAGGCGACGAUGCGUAGCCGACCUGAGAGGGUGAUCGGCCACACUGGAACUGAGACACGGUCCAGACUCCUACGGGAGGCAGCAGUAGGGAAUCUUCCGCAAUGGGCGAAGGCCUGACGGAGCAACGCCGCGUGAGUGAUGAAGGUCUUCGGAUCGUAAAACUCUGUUAUUAGGGAAGAACAAAUGUGUAAGUAACUAUGCACGUCUUGACGGUACCUAAUCAGAAAGCCACGGCUAACUACGUG
rnacentral:rRNA from 1 species